UCAGUUUUCAGGCCAGUUUUGUUUAAUAUCUUUAUUGAUGAUUUAGAUGAGGGGAUUGAGUCCACCAUUAGCAAAUUCACAAGUGACACUGAGCUGGGGGGAGUGCGGAUCAGCUGGAAGGCAGGAGGGCUCUGCAGAGGGCCCUGGACAGACUGGAGA